rnacentral:rRNA from 1 species
AUUGAACGCUGGCGGCAGGCCUAACACAUGCAAGUCGAGCGGAGCGGGGGACGGGUGAGUAAUGUCUGGGAAACUGCGCGAUGGAGGGGGAUAACUACUGGAAACGGUAGCUAAUAUCGCAUACCCUCAGAUGUGCGCAGAUGGGAUUAGCUAGUUGGUGGGGUAAAGGCCUACCAAGGCGACGAUCCGUAACUGGUCUGAGAGGAUGAUCAGUCACACUGGAACUGAGACACGGUCCAGACUCCUACGGGAGGAAGCAGUGGGGAAUAUUUGACAAUGGGCGAAAGCCUGAUCCAGCCAUGCCGCGUGUGUGAAGAAGGUCUUCGGAUUGUAAAGCACUUUAAGUUGGGAGGCGUUACCAACAGAAUAAGCACCGGCUAACUUCGUGCCAGCAGCCGCGGUAAUAC